rnacentral:siRNA from 1 species
UGUAGCAGAUCCGGUGGUCCUA